rnacentral:lncRNA from 1 species
AGAUGAGGCAGCGCAGGGGCUGCUGCUUUGCCACGAAAGAGUUCCCGUGCCGUGGGAGCAAGUCUGGGACCGCUGGUCGGACCGGAGAGUCGCAGCUGUGUGUUAGGGCUAGGAUGGCUCCGGGAUGCGCGUGACGCAAGUGACCUUGCGUGUAAAGGGAUACAUGAUCCCUUAAUUCAGGCUCAGGCUGAAGAACUGACCCACUUACGACAGAAGACACAGGAAGGGAGAGGUGUCUGCUACCUUUUUACCCAGCAUGUGAAGAACACAGUCAAGUCUUUUGAGGGCCUUCUCAGGAACACUGGCAUUGCCUACUACCAGAGACAGAGAUUCUGUGAGCAAAUGGUACAAGGAAGCCAGCUGACAGAGAUCCUUGUCAGAAAACUUGUCACAGAAGAUGAGAUCCAGAGACAGCGGUAGCACCUGAAGGAGACCCUUUUCAUCAACAACUGCCUGUGAGAAAAGCUGGAAUGUCAUCUCAGCAGCUUUGAUGAAGAAAAUGGUGGGAGAGGCCCAAGUCAGUGCUUCUGGCAAUAUGUAUUUUUCUAAAGCAUGCACCUCUAAACUCUACAGGCACAUCAUAGAUUCCAUCGUCCAGCUGUAUAAUGAAAACAGAGUUCUCAGAGAACACCGGAGACUCCCCCGACUUGCCUGAAUCAAGUUUCUAGAG